UCCCAGUUCGGACUGGAGUCUGCAACCCGACUCCACGAAGUUGGAUUCGCUAGUAAUCGCGCAUCAGCCAUGGCGCGGUGAAUACGUUCCCGGGCCUUGUACACACCGCCCGUCAAGCCAUGGGAGCCGGGGGCGCCUGAAGUCCGGGACCGCGAGGACCGGCCUAGGGCGAAACUGGUGACUGGGGCUAAGUCGUAACAAGGUACC
rnacentral:rRNA from 1 species